rnacentral:lncRNA from 1 species
UCUAGUGUGAGUUUUUGUGGCUUUUUUGCACGCUUUUCGGGUUUGGGAGGGGAUGGAGACGAAGAAAUGAAUUUUUUAUGAGAGUUGAGGUUUUCUGGAGCGUGAGGUUUGGUGCAACUCAAAAUGUGAGCUUCAUUCCUCCUUUUAAGUUUAAAUAUUUCUUAAAAACUUUGAUUUUGUAGGUGAAUAAUUGAUGCACUUCUGAUGUGUAUAUUUGUUUGAUGUUGUAGGAACUGUUAUGACUUGUAGGUUUUGAUUUGUUUUUGUAGUUUGUUAUUGGCAAUUUGCGUCUGAUAUAUUGCAUUUACUACCAUGCACUUAUAGCGGUUAUUGCUUUAAUUUCUGUGAUUACUUUGGCAUAACUUUGUGUGGCUUGGAAUAAGGUGUCCUUGUAGGGAAUGGACUUCUACUAAUGUACUUCAUGUACUGUUUUAGUGUCUUUGCCUUAGAGAAAUAGCUAGACUCUGCACGUGUAAGAAAUCAAAGAUACGUUGCACUAUAUUUGACAAUUUUUUCUUAAUUGAGAAUUGAAUAUUUGUAACCUCCCAACAUUAUAAUUUGAAAAGUAGUUGAUGAAUAGAAACCAAGGACAAGGUUAAUUUGUGUGUUGGAUAUCAAGUUGGACUAGAAAAGCCAAGUGUUCUAGAAAACAUAGAAGAAAGAAACUCGUGAGUUUUGGAAACAGUUAUUACAUAUUAGGAAACACAAUUUAGUAUAUAUUUCACUGUUCCAUCUUGAAGCUACCUUUUUCUAGAUCUCCUUCUUCUGGUCACAUUGCGAUGAAUGACAUAAUGAACUUGUAAUUUAACACAAUAGAGAGUCAGAGACUCGAUUCUGCUAAAGAGCAGAAGUCCAGGUAGCCUCUUGAGAAUGGCAUCCAUAUUUUAAUGUACUAAAGAGCAGAUGUCCAGGUAGUACUCUUGAGACUACCAUUUGUUGUCAUGUGGCGAUAUGUCAAAAACUUUCUACUCAUCAAGAACUUGAAUUACACAUGAUCCUCAAGAAGUGCCCCAUGGUUAAUUGAAGCGAGUUAUCUUGUGAUUCUUGUGAAUAACGUGGAACUAACAAUUCUCUAAGUUCAUGGAAACCAUUCAGUCGUAGUUGGACACACCUAAAACUUCGAGAUUAGGCUAAAAAAUCAUAUUCUUCUACACUUUGAAUGGUCGUUUAUUGGCUAGUGCAAUGUAAGGUGGUUAUGUGGAAAUAUCAAAAACCCUGAUUUUCACCUGUGUUAUGAUUCAGAAUAGUACCAUGAUUCACAAAAGGUCGUAUGGACACUGACAUAAAUUCAUACAACUUACCAUGCAUGCUGAGCUUAAAGGAAUGCUUAUUAUGAGUUCACAGAUUGUUACAUGAACAUGCAUAUGCAUAUGCAUUCAUAUAUACUGCUGCCCAUAACUGAGCUUAAAGGAACCUUUAUUGUGGUUUGAACAAUUUCACUUGCAUCAAUACAUGCAUUCAUAUAACUUGCCACAUCUUUACUAUGCUCAAAGGAGAGGAGAAUUCAUUGCUAAUUGAUUUUUAAGAUUAUUAGUUGAUGUCUUUAAUACUCUACUGUACCAUUCUACAUUAUGGGCUGACAUCCACUAUUACCUCUCUCUCUCUCUCUGGGGGAAGAUACAGUUAGCUACCUGUCCUAGGUUACGGUCUUAACUACGUGGUAGUUGAUAAGUUUGAUGGUUCAUGCAAUUAAAAGUUUCUCCACAAACAAACUUCAGUUUCUUUGGACAAUUCUUCCUGAUCUAUAAAGAUGUUUAUCACUACUAAAAAGAGAACAGGAAUCUCCUGUUAUUUAGAGCUCUUAUAGUGAAGGUCUAUAUAUUAUCUUCAAGAUUCUUGCUUUUGAUAGGAACUUGAAAUUAGAAUCUCCUCAGUUUCAGAUAAAAUAUUACCGUAGUUUCCAGUAGUAAAGCUAAUGCCAUAUAAAUUCAGAGUAAUGUAAAUCUGUAUUAUAAUUGGGCCCUUCAUCCCCUUAAAAGGCCUUUUAAGAGGCUAGGGUAGUCCAACAUUAUAUAUUGGAGUCAGGAUCUUUACCAAGUCGAUGUGGGACAGAAAGGGUAGCUUCAACAAUCUGAAAUUGCAAAAUAGUUUUUCGCCUAUGUCUUUUUGCUCAAGUUACCUGUUACCGGUGCAAUUUAGUUUUCCUUUCUUUUUUCUUUCCGAAUGUCUUUAUCUGUCAUCUGAUUUCUGAAUUUUAUGUCCGUAUAUUUCAAGUGUUAGUUUGUAAUUGAGAUUACACACUUGAUUUUUUGCUUAAUGCACUCACUAACUCACUUGAUUUUGGCAAUUUCAUGUAUAAUGUUUGAUAGAUGGUCAAUGAUACUUUUCUAAUCCUUAUUGUGUCAUGCUUGGUUUUUUAUUGUUUAACUUUACUAGAUAAUACGGUUAAUACCUAAAACUAUCUCAUAGUCCAUAAGCAUAUUCUAUGGAAUAAUUGUCAUUUGCGUAUGUUCUAUGAUUCUCGCAUAACUUAGUGUUGUCUUCAUUACUAAAAUAACUUAAUUUUCCAAUAUCAUCUCCUUAUGCUAUUGAGUAGCUUGCUUUUUUCCUUCUCCAUCUAGCUGCUGAUAAUAUUUUCUUUAUCCUUGUGGUGUAACUAGUUUAUCUUGUCUUUCACUAAGGUUGUGGAUGCUGUGGUUGCACUAUAUCCAAUUUUUGAGCUAAUACCAGUUUCAAAUUAGGCUUAUCAAUAUGCAUGGUCUUGUAAUAUGUUCCAUAUCUUGACUGGAGUGUCAUUGUAUGCUAGCAAAUUGCAGGGCUUUAGAAUGACAUGUAAGGACAGUUUAUUGAUAGAUACAUGAGGUGGUCAGUAUAUAACCUUCUAUAACACAACGUCUCAUUUUGGCGAAACAAUAACAUUAUUGGUGUAGCUGGGAUUUCUGUUGAUCCAUUGUCAUGCCGAUCUCACAUUUAUCAAACACAUCUGUUGGUGGAUGACAAGUUUAAUAUUUUAAGUUUAGUUCAAGCCCUGCAGAUCAGAUCAUCUAUAGGCUUGUGUUUAGGCGCACCUUAAUUCAUCUCCAGAUAAGCCAAGAUAAAAUGCAUUAUAAUUCAUAGAAAACACAUGCGGACCCAUCAGUAUGUCAGCUUCAGUUUAACUUCCGGUUUCAAACAAUAAUUAUCAUUUUAACUUUUUUUGCUUGCAUCAAAAACCUAAUUAUGCAUUAUUUAUCAUUUCUUCAACAUGAUGGAUAGUUUUUGUUUGAAAUAUUAGUCAAUUAUGUUGUUUUCUAAUAGUUGCAACGUAUAAGUUAAGAUGUCACUGAGGUGGUUCAACUGCUGCAACAGACCUGGUAGUGAUAGCACUUGAUCGUAUAUCCGUUUUAAAUUUUAAUUAGGAUUUGGUUUUUUAUUAAUUUUUCUAGGCUAGAUGCAUAAUAUUAGACCUUCAUUGAGAUGUCUAACAAACAAAAUAGAAUUUGUUACAUGAAGAGGCAGAUAUGUAUGUCCUUAUCUAUAGUUUUCUAGCAAUUAAAUUGUCUGACCUAUUUGAAUAUUUACUCUGGAUAUAUUUGCCUGUUCAUUUUGACAAUUUCUAAAGUAUUGCAACAUUCUAUACAGUUAAUUCCAGAGUUCUGGUUUUAAUAAAGAAACUUUCUGAUCGGCUCGAUUGUCUAUGGUGUGGGCACAUUUGAUCAAAAUAAGUAUUGUAGGGUGCUUGAUUCAGAGAGUAGUAUUGCUGCUGCUAAUUUGUAGAUGAACUCUUUAUAAUGCGUAACCUAUUAAUGUUUUAUGUUGAUUGCUUGACCUUUAAAUUCGAAUACAACUUGGAUAGUUGACGAGAGCCAUCUCUUGCACUUUAUCAGAGUAUAUGGAUUACCAAGGAACAUGGGAGGUGAUAUGUUAUUAGUUUUAUGCAUGCUGAAUGAAAGUUGUAGAGAGUUUGGAAAUAAUAGUUGGCACAUUAAUAAAGUGAAACUACUAGCAUAUCAGUGAUAUCACAAUAAACUACUAGAUGGUUUUAAAGAAGUUUGAUGAUGAUGAUGAUGAUGAUGGUAUGAUGGAAACAUUAGCCUGAUCUUAAGAACAAAGUUCAGGAUUUGUUGAAACAUAAUUUGAUAGUUGAGAAGGUAAAGUGGAUGGCUGCAUGAAGGUAUCAACUGUCAAAUAUUCACUGCAUAUCUAUAUUGCUUAUUUCUUUCUCCUUAGUUUUUCCCAACUAAUGUUUGAAAGUUGGGUGGCACCUGUUUGGUUACUAACUUAUUAUCUAUUUUGAAAGAUGUUCGGAAAUUUGGUGGCACCCAGUUGUUUACUGACUCAUAAUCCAUUUAGAAAGAUGUUGAUGCUUUAUGUAUAUCCAUUAAUCUAUGCAAUUGAUGGUUUAUGAUACUUAAUGGCUUAUUCCAUUGACUUGUGGAAGAUGCUCUCAAAGAAUAUCUAGAUUGUUUUAUUUUCUUUCUAUCCUUGAUGUUGAUCUAUCGAUUUUUUCUCCCUUGAUUGUGUUUUGCAACUUGCUGAACCGUUCUGAGUAUAUUAGUCUACUUGGUGAACCUUUUCUUCCUUGGAAACAGGUAAACUUCAAUAUAGAAUGCCUGGUGGAACGAUUAUCGAAUGGAGUUUUUUCCAAUCUAUCUAUACUUACUAAUAUUAAAGCAAGGUUUUCAGCUGCCAAUUUUUCCCGCCAAGUCACACUUCCUUUAAUCUACUGAAAAAUUUGGAUCAAUUUAUCUGUUGGGUAAUAGGUUCAGUGCACUUUUGGCUCCAAUUUAUGGAGCCCAAAUUUGAAUUUUGAAUAUGCUAAGUCAGGUUUACCAUCUAUAAAUAGCAGCAAUAAAUAUGAAUUCUUCACUUCCACAUCUCACCUCCCACAUUUCAAAUUGCAGUCGAUUUACCUGCUAUUAGGCGUUGGGUUGGGGAGUUGUCGGCAGAGCUGCUCUGAUAGGCUGCACAGUGAGGCGGAGCACGGCGCAGGCUGUUGCUGUAGAGAUUUCGAGGCGAGCGGCGUGGGCCGGAGGGGGCGACGAGCGGCGGAAAACAGAGAGAUUGCAGACGAGCUAAGCUGGUAGCGUGAGAAUAGGAAGAAAUAGGGAUUAGAGGUGAAGGCGGCACUUUGCGUGAUGUCUGUAAACCUAAUAAAGAGAUAUAGUCUUUUUAUUAUUACUAAUAUUUACUCCAUUAUUUAAGAGGUUUUAGGAAAAAGAGAUGAUAUUAGAGCUCAGCAGAUCACCUAAAU